rnacentral:rRNA from 1 species
CGGACGGGUGAGUAACGCGUGGGUAACCUGCCUCACACAGGGGGAGUAACAGUUGGAAACGGCUGCUAAUACCGCAUAAGCGCACAGUACCGCAUGGUACAGUGUGAAAAACUCCGGUGGUGUGAGAUGGACCCGCGUCUGAUUAGCUAGUUGGCAGGGCAACGGCCUACCAAGGCGACGAUCAGUAGCCGACCUGAGAGGGUGACCGGCCACAUUGGGACUGAGACACGGCCCAAACUCCUACGGGAGGCAGCAUG